rnacentral:rRNA from 1 species
UACGGGGGGAGCAAGCGUUGUUCGGAUUUACUGGGCGUAAAGGGCGGGUAGGCGGCCACCGCAAGUCAGUUGUGAAAUCUCUGGGCUUAACCCAGAAAGGUCAGCCGAUACUGCAGGGCUAGAGUGCAGAAGGGGCAACUGGAAUUCUCGGUGUAGCGGUGAAAUGCGUAGAUAUCGAGAGGAACACCUGCGGCGAAGGCGGGUUGCUGGGCUGACACUGACGCUGACAGCGCGAAAGCUAGGGGAGCGAACGGG